rnacentral:rRNA from 1 species
CGAAACUGCGAAUGGCUCAUUAAAUCAGUUAUCGUUUAUUUGAUAGUACCUUACUACUUGGAUAACCGUGGUAAUUCUAGAGCUAAUACAUGCUAAAAACCCCGACUCACGGAAGGGGUGUAUUUAUUANAUUAAAAGCCAAUGCCCUUCGGGGCUCACUGGUGAUUCAUGAUAACUUGUCGAAUCGCAUGGCCUUGCGCCGGCGAUGGUUCAUUCAAAUUUCUGCCCUAUCAACUUUCGACGGCUGGGUCUUGGCCAGCCAUGGUGACAACGGGUAACGGCAGGGUUAGGGCUCGACCCCGGAGAACGAGCCUGAGAAACGUAAGUCGCUAGGCAUCUUGCUAACAGAUCAUUUUUACAGGGCUAUUACAUGUUAAAAAGCUCGUAGUUGAACCUUGGCCCUGGCUGGCCGGUCCGCCUCACCGCGUGCACUGGUCCGGCCGGGGCUUUCCCUCUGGGGAACCGCAUGCCAUUCACUUGGUGUGUCGGGGAACCAGGACUUUUACUUUGAAAAAAUUAGAGUGUUCAAAGCAGGCCUAUGCUCGAAUACAUUAGCAUGGAAUAAUAGAAUAGGACGUGUGGUUCUAUUUUGUUGGUUUCUAGGACCGCCGUAAUGAUUAAUAGGGACAGUCGGGGGCAUCAGUAUUCAAUUGUCAGAGGUGAAAUUCUUGGAUUUAUUGAAGACUAACUACUGCGAAAGCAUUUGCCAAGGAUGUUUUCAUUAAUCAGGAACGAAAGUUAGGGGAUCGAAGACGAUUAAUCUGGUCGUCGACAGCACUGGGGUGCUAGUCCGCCUCGACCGCGGGCGACACCGUCAAAUUGCGGGGACAUCCUAAAGGCCGCUGCUACACCUGCGGGCGGGAAACCGCCGGCAGUCGUAAUAACGCGCGGCAUGACGGGGGCCCAGGCCUCCCGAAAUGGACAAUCCGCAGCCAAGCCCUAAAGCCGCCCCCGGCGGCCACGGGCGCAGUCCACAGACUAGACGGCGGUGGGGGCCUCCUAGUGAGCCCUUUGGAGCCUGCGGCUUAAUUUGACUCAACACGGGGAAACUCACCAGGUCCAGACACGAUGAGGAUUGACAGAUUGAGAGCUCUUUCUUGAUUUCGUGGGUGGUGGUGCAUGGCCGUUCUUAGUUGGUGGAGUGAUUUGUCUGCUUAAUUGCGAUAACGAACGAGACCUUAACCUGCUAAAUAGCCCGCGUUGCU